UUGAAACAUUGUGAUUUUACUCUCAAAAUUAGCCUUCGACUUUAUUCCAAUAAUAUUAUAACUUUAUUCUUAUAAUUUCAGAUAUUGUUUUUGCUUCAUCCCGCGUAAAAAUAAAAUAAUCGCUUAUCUUUUUUUUUUUUAAAUACCUGUUGGUUUCUGAAAAGAAAAUCCAAUGAUCAAUGGAUUAAAAAACAAAACAUUGAUUCAGCUUCCGCCGUGUUAUUUUUGCACACUUUACUACAAGGUCACGUAGAUGUACACGUGACCCUUCUGCUCACGUGCACACUUGGAAAUUACCUCAUCGCCCGUUACGACGCACAACGCAGCAGUGGUCGAAGUGUCGGGCUCGUGGAUGUUGAAUUGAGGAGCACGCGAUGCGGCGCUAGCUGGAGGCUAAUUCGGAAGCUAGCGUGUGCGUCGAGUGUCACCCUGAGGCCUAGCUCUUCAGGUGAACUGGAUUCUUCUGUCCUUGUUGUUCGCGAGUGAAUUGAGUUCUACAGCGCCCCUCAGUCCACAGACGGUCACACACUGACACCUGGUGGAGAGUUUGUGAAACUGCAGUUGAGUAUUGUGAAUAAAACGUAAGGAGCAGACUAGAAGAAGAGGGCUUCAGUGAUUCUUGUGUUGAUACUGUGUCAUUGUCAUGUAUGUGUAAACUCUCUGGGAAUGUUAUUCUUAUGGGAAUGCAGGAGGGAGAGCCGGGGCUUAGACAACAGGAUUGGUGGGCUGCAGGCGGGAAAACAAAAGACUAAGAUAAGGCUCUUUGCAUAAACUCCCAUCAGCCCUGUGAGCUCUGGAGCACUGUAAACAAAGCAAUAAAGUCCUUAAACCGGGUCCAAUCGAGUCACCUUGGUCCAGAGUAGGAAUAGGGAUUUUAAUGUGUUACCCGGAAGUCUGUAAAUUGUAGUUUUCUGUAAAGCGAAAGUCAACAUAGAACGACUUUACUCUCUUAGAAACGUAAGUUUCGUAUUCACCAUGACAGUGUGCACUUCCGGUGCAGACCCGGAUAUAUACUGAGCUGAACCUUGAGAUUGUCGUGUUACUUCGGUAACACAUAUACUAAAAUUGGAACGAUACAGAGAAGAUUAGCAUGGCCCCUGCGCAAGGAUGACACGCAAAUUCGUGAAGCGUUCCUCAUUUUUCAUUAAAAUAUUAAUUUUUCUCCACUGACUCUAAUGGAACAGCGCCCCCACCGCCGGCGGCGCUGCCGGGAACUGCAGCGGCAGGAGUAGCUGUCUGUUACAAACUGCAUCUGAAGUAAUUAUGACUAAACCGAGCUGCUCUUAAAAACAACGACUGUUAAUAAAAACUACACGUCACACAGACAAAGGAACGGUAAGUGAAAUAAAUUAACUUAAAACUUCUUACUUUUUCCGCGGGGUCGGAGCUUUGGAGCUGUCCCGUCUCCCGUUAGUCUAGAGCGGGGGCGAGAGCCGGUCCACACCGGGGAGCGGACCGAGGUGUUCCCACAUCCACCACCAUCUCAGCCCAGCCUCACACGGGACCAUGGACCGACAACCCGCCGCCUGUCCUCGCCCUUCGGCAGCCGGACACGAACACCCACCCUCCGGUAGCAGCGUCCUCCAGGCUCGGCUCCCCGCGCACUCUGCUCCUCUCUGGGUCACACAGGUGCAGUCACCCGCUCUCAUCAUCCCAGUGAUUAUCAGCUGUUCUUUCUGUGUGAAGGAUCACAGCGCCACCUACCGGACAAACCACGUGAUACUCUGAAGUAAAAUGUCACAACACCUCAAAUCUAAGUGACGUGCUUCUAAAAUAAAAGCCGCAGUAUGUUGAUGGAGAACGGUGUAAAAUGUUAUUACUGGUAUUAUUGAUAACACCAUUUACAC